rnacentral:rRNA from 1 species
GUGCCAGCAGCCGCGGUAAUACGGAGGGUGCGAGCGUUAAUCGGAAUUACUGGGCGUAAAGGGCGCGUAGGCGGUCGCGCAAGUCGGGUGUGAAAGCCCCGGGCUCAACCUGGGAAUUGCAUUCGAUACUGCGUAACUAGAGUCUGGUAGAGGGAAGCGGAAUUCCGCAUGUAGCGGUGAAAUGCGUAGAUAUGCGGAGGAACACCAGUGGCGAAGGCGGCUUCCUGGACCAAGACUGACGCUGAGGCGCGAAAGCGUGGGGAGCAAACAGGAUUAGAUACCCUGGUAGUCCACGCCCUAAACGAUGAGGACUAGACGUUGGGGGGAUAAAACCCUUUAGUGUCGCAGCUAACGCGUGAAGUCCUCCGCCUGGGGAGUACGGCCGCAAGGUUGAAACUUAAAUGAAUUGGCGG